rnacentral:rRNA from 1 species
UACGAAGGGGGCUAGCGUUGCUCGGAAUCACUGGGCGUAAAGGGUGCGUAGGCGGGUCUUUAAGUCAGGGGUGAAAUCCUGGAGCUCAACUCCAGAACUGCCUUUGAUACUGAGGAUCUUGAGUCCGGGAGAGGUGAGUGGAACUGCGAGUGUAGAGGUGAAAUUCGUAGAUAUCGGGAGGAACACCAAUGGCGAAGGCAGCUCGCUGGGACGGUACUGACGCUGAGAGCGAAAGCGUGGGGAGCAAACGGG